GGGAAUCGGCUGCAGGUGGAGGGGUCGGUGUAGUCAGCAGGAGAUAAUGUGUCUGCAGCGGAGGGUCACCACACCGGAGCAAGACCUGGUGACUGCUCACAUCCAAACCACUGAAACGGAGCAGAGACCAGCUGGGACAUCAGAAUAGUGGAUGAACUACUGCGCGUGAUUGAUCUGUUGAAAACACAGGAAUCAGGCCCAGCAGCCAGCAGCUGGAGUGACCCAGCAUGGCGUCCCCUCAGCAUACUCAGGGUCCUAAGGAAGACCAAAGAUGUGGGCUUGUAUGAGCGAGUGCAGGCUUGCAGAGCUGAGGAUCCAACUUGCAGGGGGCCAAGAGUGGCAGCCAUUGCCAGCAGGGAUGUUUUGUCUAAAUGAAGUACGAGGUGGAGGUUUUUGUUCGCGGUCAGAUGAGCUUGUGUCCACACCAUGCUGUCCUGUAACCGGUUGGUCCCGCGCCGCGACUGGGAUCUCUUUGCACUUUCACGCUGCUGUAUAUCGACCGGGCCUCAGUGACACCACGGAUGCUGGAGACCUGCUCAGUGCUCUGGUGGGUCAACUCCUAACAGGGAUAGUGACAAGCACAAAGAAAGUUCCCUGACUGUGUGAGGAGCUGUGAUUGGUCGAGCAAAGAGCCCGAAGAAGAGGACACGAGUCACUGCCAGCCUUUCAGAGCCUGUGUCUUCCCAGCAGCCAUGACUAGAGUUUCUACUUCCUACCAUCACUUUGAUGACUCACAUUCCAACAGUCAUAUCCCAUGGACAUUUAUGAAUGACAAGAAUUUAAAACACAUUUAAGGGGAUUUUUUUGUGAAAUAUUUUAGAAUGUGGUAAAAAGAAUGUAUGAAAGCUGAAAACAUGUAUUUAUGUCAUUCAAGAAAUUAUUUUUGUUACUUAUACUUUUUGAGUUCACUGUCUCAUUUAAGAAUUUAACUUACAUGUGUUGUUUCUUUUAGUUUCUUUAGAAUUAUUACACUCUCAGAAUAUAUAUUAUAUAAAUGAUUAGAAAUUGUAACAGUGUAGGGUGAAACAUUAUUUUGUAUCGUGCUAUUAAUUGUUAUUCUUUAGAAUGUCCUGAAUCACAAUAGUGUUUUAAUUUCAUAGAUUUUUACUGAAUGUAAGUUGAACACACGAGCUGAAAGGAAUAUGAAUCUAUUUUUCAUGAUGAAGUUUUUUUAUAUUGAUUUCUGCACAAGGAAAGUAGAGCUUGUGGUGUUUUGAGUCACUUACAGUAACUAUAUUCAUAGACCCCACAAGCCAGUGUAGCCAACGUCUUAAUGAAUAUGGGCAGAUAGACAAAAAAUUGCAGCCAAAUAAAAGUAUAAUAAAGGCAUCUAAAUCCUAACAAGCCUGCCUUUGUUCUUCCACUCCACCCACCACAAGUUGGCCGUGUGAAAGCAGGCGUUGUUGCGGCUUUGAGGGCAGCUCUGAGAGUUCCAUGCCCACCGGCCUUCAAUCACAUGGGAUGUCUGAGUUUGACAGUAUAAAGUCUUUCUUCUAGAACAAAAUAAGGCCCCUAAGCAAUAGUGGAUGAGCUCUUAGUAACCAUCCAGUCCACGGGGAGGUAGACCAAGCAUGGUAGUACAGCACACACAAAGUGUUGGUUAGGGAUGAGACAAUGGACCAGUGGAAACAUCACUGGAUGCUGCACCGCUCGUAAAUGUCUUACAUUUACUCACAGAACUAAAGGAUAUCUCGUUUUGUUUUUUGCACAAAAAUUCAGUUUUGCCAAAUAAAAACCAGAACAACAGUUUACUAAAUACCAGUUAAGUAAAGUUUUAGUAAUCCGUAUGGAUAAACUGAAAGGGAAAUAAUUAUUUUAUUUUCUAAACACUUGAUAUAAGAGAUACCCAAAGCAUCUUUCACUUCACAGAGGUUGUAUUGGAUUGUAGUGACGCUCUUCUACAAUGGAUUUCAUUUUGUACAUUUGUUUGUGCCCAUCUUGAACUUUUUAGAGGGCAUCAGAGAGGAUAAACCGCGAACGUACACACAAGCUUCCGUGUUCACUCACUGGCAGCGCGUAAGGAUUAAUUCCAGCCUUACAGGAAGAAGACACCACCGCUUCCUGGCCUGGCCAAAUCAAUAGGCAACAUUCUUUCUAGCAUAGCAGUCAAUACACAACACUUAAGGUGUCUGACGGAGCUAAAGAACACCAAUAAUUGUUAUUAAUGCCUCAGAUAUCCCCAAGCAUUGCGUUUAGACGCAAUAAAGACUCCUUCGGCUCGAGUCAAGUGUGUUUGGAAAUUGGAAGGUUAACACAAAAAAUAGUGACCGAUAUAUUAUGGUUUCUUUCCAAAUCCCUUGUAUGAUGUUGACGUUCUGAAGAAAUUGAAGCCACAGUAUUGGAGUGACCGUAGGGAUGGUGAUGUCAACAUGGUGGAUGAGCAUUAAAAUUUCACACAGACAUUGUGGUUGACUUUUUUUCUGCGUGUUUUUACUGGAAUUUCUAAACAACUGAAUUUGAUUCAGUCCCAGAUAAUAAAUAACUUUGGUGCCUACACUUAAUUUAUCCAAUAGUAGUCCAAUAAGCUAGAGUAAAAUGGUGAACAUUGUAAAUAUUAUACCUGGUAAAGAUCCACAUGUUAGCAUUGUUAUCGUCAGUGUUUGAGACGCGUGCUGAUAUUGUUCAGCUUUUGACAUUAAACUUCGACGGAAACAUGCGGCACAUGACAAAGUUUCAUUGAAGAAUCAACCCACCGUGAAGUCACCUAUUGGUUUGUGAACUGCCAAUUUGAAUUCGGCACUUUGGCCAGCGCCAUCUUGAUUUUCCUGGAAAACAGAAGUAACCACAUUUGGAGGAGGAGGGGUGUGAGUCUGUCCACUGCACGUUCACCCACACCUGCCUGACAUUGUAUCAACGCCCCAAUGUAAACCAUGCUUUAUCAUCUGUUUCACUCUAAAUCGGACCGUAAUUUACAAGAAUGCUGAAAUAGCAACUGAGAAUAUAAACUUCGGGAACAUGUUAAAUGACGUUAUUAAUCAAGUGAGCAGUAAAGUCAUUUUAUCAUAGAUCUUCUACCCAUAGAUUUAAUCUAUAGAUGGUUAUCUUUCUGGAACCAGUCGAGUCGCCCUCUGCUGGUCAUUUGAGAGAAUACAGGUUUUAGGCACACAGUAUUGGCUUCACUCUCCGGACCAUUCUUCUACACAGUCGAUGGUCCUUUCCAAAAAGAAAUGUUGAUUUUGGGCAUUUUUACCAGGUGAUUCUCCCUGUACUCAAAAGAGCAUUAUAAAAAGAAGCGAUUCAGUUUGCUGAAUGAAAUAAAUUAUUGAAACAAGGCGCCCUCACAUGUUGCAACGGGGACACGGCACACAAACAGGCUUUAAGUGCACCAAUCUGCGGUGGCUAUUACACAUCGCACACAAAGCCACUUUAUCAGUGCGAGCAGUUACCAAGUGAAGGACAGCUAACAACAAGCAUAUACCUCGCUUCCAUCAUAAACCACAUGUGGGUUCAGAACUGGUGAAGGUAACAAAAGACGAGCGCGUGUGCGCAUGUGUGUGUGUGUGUGUGUUCGGAGGAGGGCAUUCUAAAUUCAAUCAAGUGAAGGCCAUCUCCAGCAGGGUAACAGGGAGCGGAGGGGGGGAAGAUGAGGGGAAACUCAACUGAAGUUUCCACUGGGCCUGCUGUGCUCCUAAUGCAGCCUUGGAUGUAAUUGGGUCCCAGAAGGCUGUUCAUUAUCAGGGGUGAGCGAGGCAACAAAACAGAAAAGUCGCAGAAAGAGAAUGAAAGUGCCUCAUUCUCUGCUCGCUGCCUCCGUCCCGGCACCAUUAUGGGACAAGAGUUAAUUAAAAGAGCAGUUGAUGCUGCUGUUUUCCUCAUCAAUCUCACUUCGGCUCUUAUUAAGUUUGUAA
rnacentral:lncRNA from 1 species